UACGUAGGGGGCUAGCGUUGUCCGGAAUCAUUGGGCGUAAAGCGCGUGUAGGCGGCCCGGUAAGUCCGCUGUGAAAGUCGGGGGCUCAACCCUCGGAUGCCGGUGGAAACUGCCUGACUUGAGUCCGGGUGGGGCGAGUGGAAUUCCUGGUGUAGCGGUGAAAUGCGCAGAUAUCAGGAGGAACACCAAUGGCGAAGGCAGCUCGCUGGAACGGUACUGACGCUGAGGCGCGAAAGCGUGGGGAGCGAACAGG
rnacentral:rRNA from 1 species